AGACAAGUAAGCUAAACUCAAGCUAACGGGCUCAUACCCCGUUUAUAGAGAAACACUCUCUUUUCUA
rnacentral:tRNA from 1 species